rnacentral:tRNA from 1 species
GUUGGCCAUGGCGAAGACGGCCGUGUAGCCGCCGAUGGCGGCGGCGCGGGUGCCGGUGGCCACGGUCUCGGCGCUCUCCCCGCCGGGCUCGCGC